GUAGGGGGCGCUCUAACACAUUUUACCCCUCACAGAUAAGAACUGUAGGGGGCGCUCUAACGCAUUAUACCCCUCACAGAUGUGAACUGUAGGGGGCGCUCUAACACAUUUUACCCCUCACAGAUGUGAACUGUAGGUGGCGCUCUAACACAUUAUACCCCUCACAGAUGUGAACUGUAGGUGGCGCUCUAACACAUUAUACCCCUCACAGAUGUGAACUGUAGGGGGCGCUCUAACACAUUUGACCCCUCACAGAUGUGAACUGUAGGGGGCGCUCUAACACAUUUUACCCCUCACAGAUGUGAACUGUAGGGGGCGCUCUAACACAUUAUACCCCUCACAGAUGUGAACUGUAGGGGGCGCUCUAUCACAUUAUACCCCUCACAGAUGUGAACUGUAGGGGGCGCUCUAACACAUUAUACCCCUCACAGAUGUGAACUGUAGGGGGCGCUCUAACACAUUAUACCCCUCACAGAUGUGAACUGUAGGGGGCGCUCUAACACAUUAUACCCCUCACAGAUGUGAACUGUAGGGGCUUCUCUAACACAUUUUACCCCUCACAGAUGUGAACUGUAGGGGGCGCUCUAACACAUUAUACCCCUCACAGAUGUGAACUGUAGGGGCUUCUCUAACACAUUUUACCCCUCACAGAUGUGAACUGUAGGUGGCGCUCU